rnacentral:lncRNA from 1 species
UAGGGCGAAGGCAUGACUGCAUUUUCAGGGCGCAUUACAGCCGCGCCUUCUGAUCUCUCUGCCUCUGACACUUGUCAAGUCUCUCCCAAUAAUCCGAGUAACAACAUCCUGUAAGGGGAAGUCAUCCAUCGAUGUAGAAAAACAACCUGUGCCAGGGUGCUUUGAUGUUAGUUUUUUCCCCCUGACUUGACUUGUCACAUUACACAGAUUUAUGUCCCCAGUACCAACUCAAUCCGCCUGGACAAACAGUUCCCAACCUACGAUGGUUCAACUUCAUGAUUCGGCAACUUCACCAUGGGGCAAGGAAAUAGUCUUUAGUGGAAACCACGGUGGCGAGCUGACAGCUGCAUUGCUAAGCGAUGGUACAGAAUAACUGUGAGGUAGAGAGCUACAGUGUGGAGAAAUUUGCUGGAAAGCACUCACUACUGGGUCUGAGAACUCGGCCAACAGCCACAUCUUUCCAGCCAUUUCUAACAAAGGGAGUGUGCUGACUGCUUGGCGCCCUCUUCUAUGGCAAGGGACACCUGGUGUUGAGAAAUGCAAGCACAUGGCUCAGCCUACAGAGGGCCCUUGAUGGAGUUAUAAUUAAUGUGCCAUCUGCCACCUUCAAGAUUUAGUGGCACAGAAAAUGCUCACCUUUAUGACGAGUUCUGAAAGAAGAAAGAGAAGGUCAAAGUUCCUGGCA